rnacentral:lncRNA from 1 species
UUUAUUUUUUUUUUUUUUUUUUCAGGCUGAAAGGACUUCAGAAUGAUUGGGGCUUUGUCCAGUGCCUCCUUCGUCCCUCCCCAGCCGUGCCCUCUUGGUUUCCCUAACGUUAAAACUCGCACAGCUCACUGGAGAAAUAAAUAAUAAUAAUAAUAAUAAUAAUAAAAAAUAUCAGUCCCAACUAGCACAAUGUUAAGGCUGUUUUAUUUAGAAAAGGACAGGGGACAGCCCUAGAGGAAGCCAAAGUGGCUCCCUGAUGGCACUCCCUCCAGGAGCACUCCGGAGGUGUGCAGGGUUCCAGCUGUUGACACAUCCCGCUCAUCCCCCUUAUUCAUCUUUAUAUUGGAAAUGUCAGGAUCACACUUUCAUCUGGUGUUUCUGCAGACAUCUGGAAUGGUCUUUACAGUAUUGCAUCCUUUAUACUUUACAUUCAGCUAUUGAAGAAAUUGGACCAGUUUUUGUACUGCAAUUGAAUUCAUCUGCUUAAUUCCUACAAAGUUUGGGUGCUCUUAAGUUCCUUCUGUUGUUCAAAUACAAAUAAUUGGAAAUCAUAUACUAUGUGUCCCUGACCUUGCUGGAGAAAGAAAGCCGUUUAUGCUGUUUACUGUAUCAGAGCAGAGAGCUGGUGUGCAUUCUGCAUGCUUUCCCUCAUGAUAAAAAAUAAAAUGAAUUCAUGCUGCUGCAAUGUCUGCAAUAAAUGUAGCUGAAUCCUAUAAACACUGCCAGAGUACCUAGAAACCAAGGGAAUCAACAGCAUGGCUGCUUUAAGGGAGUUGAAAAUCACAUGUAAGUAAGUCUUGAAGCACAGCGGAAAAGGGUCAAAUUUAGCUUAUGGAAGAAAGCAUUUCCUAUUGAUUAUAGACAGCAUUUACUGCAUGAAUUGGACCUGACACUACAAUAGAUUGUAACCAUUGCUACUCUAACUGAAUUGACAAUAGCAAAAUUGAGAAUGAGAAGUGGUGAACUACAUUCAAACUGCAACUGCUGGAGCUACGGCUAAAAGCUCAGCACGUGUAACACCCAUCUCAGAGCCAUGAUCUCGGGGAAGCGUGUCCAUGUAUGUGCGUGUGCGUGAGAUGCACACACAAAUGCAACUCUAUGCAAAUACUGCAGAAAGACGUUAUAUUAAAAUCCAUCAUGAAAUUAUAUCUAAGCAAUAUUUGUGUGAAGUUACAGUGCUAGAUCUUACUGUGUUGAGUGUGUGGAUAGAAGUGGUUAUUUAUUAUGGAUGCAUUUGUGUCCAGUUACCUUUUCUUCUCUCAGAAUAAUGUCCACAGGCUACUACAAUAAUGUUGGACACCAGCUUCUGAGUUUCAGUGCACAGUGAAUGCAUUUCCCUGCAAUGCUAUAGAAGCUCGACACUUGACAUAUCUAGUGAAGCUACCUGAAGAACAACAUUGUUCUUCUUGUUCCCUGCAUAGAAAAAUGACUUUUGAUACAUAUCGCUGAAUUCUUUAUUGUGUACAGUAAUAUUCUUGCCAAGCAGAAAUCUGUAAACUGCAG